rnacentral:rRNA from 1 species
UACGAAGGGGGCUAGCGUUGUUCGGAAUUACUGGGCGUAAAGCGCGCGCAGGCGGCCUUUUAAGUCUGACGGUGAAAUGCCGGGGCUCAACCCCGUGCCCGCCGGAGAUACUGGGAGGCUGGAGACGAGUAGAGGCAAGCGGAAUUCCGGGUGUAGCGGUGGAAUGCGUAGAGAUCCGGAAGAACACCGGAGGCGAAGGCGGCAUCCUGGACCGGCACUGACGCUGAGGAGCGAAAGCCAGGGGAGCAAACGGG